GGCUUCUGAUCAUAUUGCUCUGAUUUGUGGAAGCCAGGAAUGUGGGAAAAAGCUGGGACUUUGGCUACAGGCAGAGCUGGUUCCUAAUGCCACCCUAACUUGCAUGCAGGUUUCCUCCUCUGCAAGACGGAGAUGGCAGUGCCUCCUUUCUCAGGGCUACUGUGGAGACUGGAGAGGAUUCCAGCCCAGGCCACUGGAUCAACCCCUAGAAGGAGUGAGCUUGUGCUCAGGGCUGCAGCAGUUCAGAGAAAAACAAAAUAAAACAAAACCACCUUUUACUUGGCAAACAGACAAGGGGUUGGAGAAGUCUGGAGAAGAUGAAGCCAGGGAAACGCUGAAAAGUUUGAAGAGGAAGGAAUUUUCAUGUACUAAGCCUCUCACUGUGUCCCCAUACCGAGGAGCCUCUGGCACACAGAUAUCACCCUGGUGGCUGUGA
rnacentral:lncRNA from 1 species